UACAGAGGUCUCAAGCGUUGUUCGGAUUCAUUGGGCGUAAAGGGUGCGUAGGUGGCGCGGUAAGUCGGGUGUGAAAUUUCGGAGCUUAACUCCGAAACUGCAUUCGAUACUGCCGUGCUUGAGGACUGGAGAGGAGACUGGAAUUUACGGUGUAGCAGUGAAAUGCGUAGAUAUCGUAAGGAAGACCAGUGGCGAAGGCGGGUCUCUGGACAGUUCCUGACGCUGGAGGAGCGAAAGCGUGGGGAGCGAACAGG
rnacentral:rRNA from 1 species